rnacentral:rRNA from 1 species
UACGUAGGGUGCGAGCGUUGUCCGGAAUUAUUGGGCGUAAAGAGCUUGUAGGCGGUUUGUCGCGUCUGCUGUGAAAUCUCAAGGCUCAACCUUGAGCUUGCAGUGGGUACGGGCAGACUAGAGUGUGGUAGGGGAGACUGGAAUUCCUGGUGUAGCGGUGAAAUGCGCAGAUAUCAGGAGGAACACCGGUGGCGAAGGCGGUUCUCUGGGCAUUACCUGACGCUGGAGGCACGAAAGCGUGGGGAGCGAACAGG